GACAGAGGUGGCAAGCGUUGUUCGGAUUUACUGGGCGUAAAGAGCGCGUAGGCGGUUGCAUAUGUCAGAUGUGAAAUCCCAGGGCUUAACCGAGGAAUGGCCUUGGAAACUGUGCGGCUUGAGUAUUGGAGAGGAAGGCGGAAUUCCCAGUGUAGCGGUGAAAUGCGUAGAUAUUGGGAGGAACACCUGUGGCGAAGGCGGCUUUCUGGACAAUCACUGACGCCGAGGCGCGAAAGCUAGGGGAGCAAACGGG
rnacentral:rRNA from 1 species